rnacentral:rRNA from 1 species
GUAGCUUGCUAUGAGAACAAUUAGUGGCAGACGGGUGAGUAAUGCAUAGGAAUCUACCUAGUAGUAUAGGAUAGCCACUAGAAAUGGUGGGUAAUACUGUAUAAUCCCUGCGGGGGAAAGAUUUAUCGCUACAUGAUGAGCCUAUGUUAGAUUAGCUAGUUGGUGGGGUAAUGGCCUACCAAGGCAGUGAUCUAUAGCUGGUCUGAGAGGAUGAUCAGCCACACUGGAACCGAGACACGGUCCAGACUCCUACGGGAGGCAGCAGUGGGGAAUAUUGGACAAUGGGCGCAAGCCUGAUCCAGCUAUGCCGCGUGAGUGAGGAAGGCCUUAGGGUUGUAAAACUCUUUCAGUGGGGAAGAUAAUGACGGUACCCACAGAAGAAGUCCCGGCAAACUCCGUGCCAGCAGCCGCGGUAAUACGGAGGAGGCAAGCGUUGUUCGGAAUUAUUGGGCGUAAAGGGCAUGUAGGUGGUUUGGUAAGUUAAAGGUGAAAUGCCAGGGCUUAACCCUGGAGCUGCUUUUAAUACUGCCAGACUGGAGUCCGGG